UUUCCGUGGGUGAACCUGCGGAAGGGUCAUUAAAGAGUAAGGGUCUUCGGGCCCUAUCUCCAACCCUUUGUUUAACUACCAUGUUGCUUUGGCGGGCCCGUCUCACGACCGCCGGAAUUUUGGCUUCGAACAAACUUCUGGCCAGUGCCCGUCAGUGGCCCCUACAAAUUCUUUGUCAAGUAUGAUGUCUUAGUUAAAAACUUAAUAGUUAAAACUUUCAACAACGGAUCUCUUGGUUCUG
rnacentral:misc_RNA from 1 species